rnacentral:rRNA from 1 species
UACAGAGGCCUCGAGCGUUAGGCGGAAUCACUGGGCUUAAAGCGUGUGUAGGCGGACUUCUAAGUACCUUGUGAAAUCCCACGGCUCACCCGUGGAACUGCUUGGUAUACUGGUUGUCUUGAGCCUUCUAGGGGCGAGUGGAACAAAUGGUGGAGCGGUGAAAUGCGUAGAUAUCAUUUGGAACGCCAAUAGUGAAAACAACUCGCUGGGGAAGUGCUGACGCUGAGACACGAAAGCCAGGGGAGCGAACGGG